rnacentral:rRNA from 1 species
GACGUAGGGCGCAAGCGUUGUCCGGAUUUAUUGGGCGUAAAGAGCUCGUAGGCGGCUUAUUGCGUCGUCCGUGAAAACCCGUGGCUCAACUGCGGGCUUGCGGACGAUACGGGCAGGCUGGAGUUCGGUAGGGGAGACUGGAAUUCCUGGUGUAGCGGUGAAAUGCGCAGAUAUCAGGAGGAACACCGGUGGCGAAGGCGGCAUCCUGGACCGGCAUUGACGCUGAGGAGCGAAAGCCAGGGGAGCAAACGGG